CAGACACAUCUCUUACCGGCACCGUCUCUUACCUCGGAAAUUGGUUCCUAACCCAAAACCUCCCACUGUACUUUCUCGAGAGCCAAAAUCUGUUCCAAACCCUAGAAUUUUAGAUUUCUUCUGCAAAUCCCUUUCUUCAAUGGGGAAUUUCAACCAUCUACCCAUAGAGAUUUUACUCGACAUUAUAGCUCGCCUUCCAGCUGAUUCAAUUCUAAACUGCAAAUUGGUUUGCAGACCUUGGAGGGAUCUGAUUUCUCAUCAUCCAUCAUUUUAUCAGAUGUAUUUAUCUCAUCUUAAUCACUCCACUGAUUCUGGUAAGUUAAGUUUCUUUGUUAGAGGUGAUAAACAAUUUCACUAUUUUGAGUAUGAUGAGAAUAAUAAAGAGACACCUAUCAAUUGUAUUAGAAGGAUCAACAUAAACCCUCAAUUUCUUCAUUUUGAUUAUUCCGUUCUUGGUUCGGUUGAUGGUUUGAUCUAUCUUUAUAAUUAGCGAGAUCAUACGUCUUGUAUUUGUAACCCCGUGACAAGAGAAUAUGUUAUGCUUCCAAAAACUAGUGAUGAUCAGUAUAAUAAUCUUUGCUAUGGGUGUGUUUGUGUUAAUCAAUAUAUUCAUUUUGGGAGCAGAUUUGGUACGAUUCUUUAGCUGAUGAGUAUAAGGUUGUUGAACUGUAUAAGCUAAGGAGAGAUACUAGUUUUAUAAAGGUCGGGGUGUACACUCUUGGCAGUGGCAAGGGGUGGAGAAUUGUUGGGAGGUUGGAUUAUAAAAUUUGCAAAUUCAGUGCUCAUCGUGGUGUGUUUGGAAAUGGAGCGCUGCAUUGGGUGGACAAAGAAGGAGGAAGGGUGUUAACUUUCGAUUUGACUGAGGAGAAGUUUCGUGAACCUCUUUCACCACCUCCUUCGCCAUGUCUUGGAGUGAUGCCUUUCGGUACUAUAGGGCUGUUGGACGGGGUUUUAUAUUAUGUUACGGGACAUGAUGACGACGAUGACGACGGCGAAAUCAGUAAAGACAGAUGUCUGGACAUAUGGCUACUUCAAAAGAAGAACGAUAUCCCUGACAUGAAAGAGCAGGUGGAAAACGAGACAUUGGGUUGGAGUAAAGAGUUUAGUCUUCUCGAAAGGGAACCAUUAGCCUUUACCGAGAGAGGCAGUGUUUUAUGUUACAAUUAUCACUCUCUCGAUAUUUAUGACCCCGUAUCUUCAACCUCGAAAGAGCUUGUGAAAUCUGAAUCUUUUGAUCGAAUAUAUCCUCAUCAGAUCACCUUAGUUUCGCUGAAAGAAUUAGGGGAAGAAAAUGUAAAAAAGUUCGAGUUAGCUGAAAUUGAGGAGACAGAAAACGGUGGUCUGUCGACAAUCUAGCUAGCAAGAUGAGAUCCCUGGAUACAUUUAUCAACUGGAGAUCACUUAGCAAAACUGGAAGGCUCAACAAGGACCAGGGAUUCUAAACAAACUGAAGUUCUAUUUUUUUGCGCAAAGCUGUGGAAUGGACCUUCCAUGUAAAUCUAUGACUUAUACACAUGGGAGGACUUCGAGUCUUUUAAAGAAUGCAGAACCUUAUUUAGCUC